rnacentral:rRNA from 1 species
AACGAACGCUGGCGGCAGGCUUAACACAUGCAAGUCGAACGCUCGUAGCAAUACGGGAGUGGCGGACGGGUGAGUAACGCGUGGGAACGUGCCCUGAGGUACGGAAUAACUGCGGGAAACUGCAGCUAAUACCGUAUGAGCCCCGUGAGGGGGAAAGAUUUAUCGCCUUAGGAGCGGCCCGCGUCGGAUUAGCUAGUUGGUGGGGUAACGGCUUACCAAGGCUUCGAUCCGUAGCUGGUCUGAGAGGACGAUCAGCCACACUGGGACUGAGACACGGCCCAGACUCCUACGGGAGGCAGCAGUGGGGAAUCUUGCGCAAUGGGGGCAACCCUGACGCAGCCACGCCGCGUGAGCGAUGAAGGUCUUCGGAUCGUAAAGCUCUGUGGGGGGANAAGAAGAAAGCCGGUGAAGAGCCGGCCUGACGGUAUCCCCUUAGCAAGCACCGGCUAACUCCGUGCCAGCAGCCGCGGUAAAGUGUCGUGU